UUUAUAAAUUCUUAUUAUGUUUUGUUAAAUAUAAAAUUAACAAUUAUUUUAUUUAUUAUUAUUUUAUUAUUUAUUAUUAUUAAUAUCUUUAUUUACUAUUAUUUUAUUUUUUAUUUAAAAAAAUUAAUUAAUUAAUUAAUUUGAAUUUUAAAUAUUCCCUCCCCUUAUCUGUUGAUGAAGGAUUCCCCUAAAAAAUUACCGUUCCCCCCAAAAUUUUCUCUACAAAAAGGACAUUCUCACCCCAGAACAACAUAUAUACAUUCACCAUCAGACAUUUUUUUUUACGUAUUUUUACACUAUUAGAAACCAGACAGUGAACAUCAGAGAGCAAAAACCAAAGGGAGGAAAACAAAAAAUCAGUGAGAAAGAAUAUCAAAAUACAAAGAAAAAAAUAGUGAAAAAUCAAAGAAGAGAGAAAAACAUCAGACAAAAGAAAGAAAAGAAGGAAGUUGAAGGUUCGUUGAAGGUUCUGGUGACAGAUUUCUUUAUUCAUUAGUCCAUUCAAUUUAUUACAGGUUUUUUAUUCGAUCCUGUAUCACUCACGUUAUGAAUUUACUUAUAAAUGCAUGAAUAAAGAUGUUUAAGUUGCUUUAUGUAUUAUUUAAUAAAUAUAGUUAAUUGAUUAUGUGAGUUUCUUAUUAUUGCAUGUUAUUUAAUUAAGUUAUAACAUAUUUAUUUAUGUUUUUUUGAGUGUUAAAAAUCUGUGUGUUAAUUCUGUUAAAGUUAAAAAUUUGAACCGAAAAGAGAAAUAGAUGAAAAGAAAAUUGACAGGCUUUUUGAUGUACGCAUGAUCACACACACUAUUUUUCAACUUACAUACACUACAGAUUUCAUACAUCAACAUUUGUAUUCAUUGAAAAAUAGACGUACAAUAAUACACACAACGUAUAUAAAAAUGGUGAGAAAAUCUGGAUGCAAGGAGAGAAAAAUUAGUAAAAUUCGGAUGAAUUAGAUAGCAAAAGAAAGAUAUAGAUAGAAGGAGAUGCCGGUAAGAAGGUGUUUUCUAGUGAAAUCCUCAUUGGAUUCGCUGCCGGAAAAAACUUAUAUUCACUGUUUCGUCACGGUUAAGGCGAUUAGUCACCGGAAAAACCCAAACCAGUGAUACCGUCUAUCUUUCUUCCUUAUCCGGCUACCACUAGUACCGCCGACGCUGCUUCUCUUUCUUUUUUUCCCCUCCCCGUCGGAAAGUUCAAAAAACACCGAUGAAGCCACUAACGCCGCCAGCGACACCACCAACGGCAAAAACGCCGACUAAAUUGCCAGCCAUCAUCCUUACUCUCAGAUCUGGCCAAUCCCUCACCGUAUUUGCACCACUGGCCGACAAACCUACAACCCGUAUACAUCGAUCUACGCACAAACCCACCGAAAAAUACACACGCACCUUGCACGCACACCUGAUCGUUGCCGGAAAAAUCCCCACUGUCGCCAUACCAUUUACAGGCCAGAUCUGGCCAGAAUUUAAGAGUUUCAAUGGCUUUUUGAAGGAUAGGGUUCCGUUAUUUUUUUUAUAUCUGUAUGUGUUAAUUUUUAUACAAGUUUGUUUAGAAUAAUUUAAUAUUUGAUGAUAGUUGACUAUAAAUAUUUAUAAUGAAGUAUAUUUGAUUAAACAAAAAUGACAAUAUGCAUAUUUAAAAGUGCAUUUUAAUUACUGUUUAACUUAUUUUCUUGGAUUUUAUAAAUUAAAAUCUCAAAAAAAAAAUAUUAUUUUAAGAUCAAAAAGAUAAUAUGUAAUUUCGGAUUAGAUUUUUAUAAUGUUUAAUAAAUUUUAUUUAAAUUAUUUUCGAAUAUAAAGUAUUUGAUAGUUUUCUCCUUCAUGACAAGUCCGAUUGUAAAACAAUUUAACUAUGUUAUUU
rnacentral:lncRNA from 1 species